rnacentral:rRNA from 1 species
UACGUAGGGUGCGAGCGUUGUCCGGAAUUACUGGGCGUAAAGAGUUCGUAGGCGGUUUGUCGCGUCGUUCGUGAAAACUUGGGGCUUAACUCCAAGCGUGCGGGCGAUACGGGCAGACUUGAGUACUACAGGGGAGACUGGAAUUCCUGGUGUAGCGGUGAAAUGCGCAGAUAUCAGGAGGAACACCGGUGGCGAAGGCGGGUCUCUGGGCAGUAACUGACGCUGAGGAGCGAAAGCGUGGGGAGCGAACAGG